UCUUCAGUGUCACAUGAUCUUUCAGAAAUCAUUCUAAUAUGCUGAUUUGCUGCUCAAGAAACUUGUCAUUAAUGUUGAAAGCAGCUGUUCUGCUAAAUAUUUUUGU